UGAGGAACAUGACUUUCGGCGGGGGAUAGCCGGCCCAACGACCGGGUAAUACCGCGUACGACCACUUUGGGACAUCCCUGGGUGGUGAAAGCAGCAAUGCGCCGAUGGAGUGCCUCGCGGCCUAUCAGCUAGUUGGUGAGGUAACGGCUCACCAAGGCGACGACGGGUANCUGGUCUGAGAGGAUGGCCAGCCACAUUGGGACUGAGACACGGCCCAGACCUCCGUACGGGGAGCA
rnacentral:rRNA from 1 species